rnacentral:rRNA from 1 species
GAGUUUGAUCCUGGCUCAGAUUGAACGCUGGCGGCAUGCCUUACACAUGCAAGUCGAGCGGCAGCGCGGGGGCAACCCUGGCGGCGAGCGGCGAACGGGUGAGUAAUACAUCGGAACGUGUCCUGUCGUGGGGGAUAACCAGUCGAAAGAUUGGCUAAUACCGCAUGACCUCGUAAGAGAAAAGCGGGGGACCGUAAGGCCUCGCGCGACUGGAGCGGCCGGUGUCGGAUUAGCUAGUUGGCGGGGUAAAAGCCCACCAAGGCGACGAUCCGUAGCUGGUUUGAGAGAACGACCAGCCACACUGGGACUGAGACACGGCCCAGACUCCUACGGGAGGCAGCAGUGGGGAAUUUUGGACAAUGGGCGCAAGCCUGAUCCAGCCAUGCCGCGUGUGUGAAGAAGGCCU